GUAUGUGUGAGUUUAUUCGUGCGAGAUCAAUUCGUCCACUUUUCGAUGGUGUUGUGAAUUUAUGAUUCCUUGUUACAGUUUUAGGAUAAAGUUCUACCACGCGGCGGGUGGGUGUCGGCCAUCACGAUUUGGUGGCGACAUGGGUGAAACGUGCGUGUUGUUAUGUUGUUGUGAUUAAGAAUUUUAUGGAAUUUAAUUGAAACUUAAACAACUUGAUAAGAAAAUCAUCAUCAUGGUCCCCUAACAACCUUAUAAUUUUAAAAAACCAUGAUUGGGUUAUAAAAUAACGCUGAAAUUUGAGAGUUAACACGCGUUUUGCUCGCUUCA